rnacentral:lncRNA from 1 species
GCCGCCGCCGCCGCCAGCGAGCCCCGAGCUCAGUGUCGCUCAAACCUCCCCUCCCGGCCCCGCUCGGCCCUCCCCCCGCGCCCCGCAGACCCUUUCAAACCCCCUGGGCUCGCGGCGGCUGCUCGGUGAGGAAACGCUGGCCGCGGCUGGGGCCGGGGCGACGCGGCUGCGAGCGGGGCGGCGGCGAGGCGCCCGGUACGGUGAGCCCAGCAACGAGGCGCGGGCGGGCGCGCAGAGACGCCGGGUCCUCGCGGAGCACGGCCGGGGCGCGGCGGCGGCGGUGGCAGCGGGAGCCCAGGGACCGCUCCAUCACUGGCAGCCAUGGAGCCCGAGCAUUUUCCUCCCUCAGGGCAGGCGCCUCGACUCGGCACACGUCCUCGGGGAGGAAGGGGCCGGCACCCGAGCCUCUCCGGAGGGCGGCGGGACGUGCGCUAGGGCGGAGGGUGCGACCCUCUCUUAUCCUCUUCCUCCGCAGCCGGCUCUUCCUCACCCCGCUGCUCCCGCGACCGGGCGGGAGAGGGCCGCAGGCGGCGGCGGCUCCUUUCUCCGCGGCGUUGGUGGCCAGACGGGCUGGUGCAGCGACUGCAGCCGACGCCGUUCAAAGGAACGAGGUGGGGUUGGUCGGUGUCGGCAAACGGGGCGGGGGAGUGAGUGGGUGCCGAGGGAGGGUGUCGGGCGGGGAGGGGGCUGUGGUGGUUGUUACUAGUGCUCUUCUUCGGCUCCCCCGGCUCCACCGUAUCCCCCAGUCUCUCGCGGCAUCGGGAGGGGAGGGACCAGCGCGGAGCGCAGGAGGAGGAGGGGCGACCGCCGGCGAGAGGAGGCGGUGGUGGCUGGGGGGAGGGGGCAGGCGGAGGAGGAGGAGGGAAGAUGGCGUCUGCGCAUGCGCCUCGGCGCCGCAGACAUAAAGCCGGGUCUGGCGGGGCAGGAGGCGGCGGGUCUUCGGGCCUAGGCGAGCGCCAGGUCUCCCGACGGAAAUUACCGAAGGCUGGCAGAGGCGCCGAAGCCGGGAGUGGUGGAGCCGGAGGGGAUAGUGGGGGUGGGGAAUUCCGGCCGAAGGAGCGAAUCCGGGUCGGACUGCGUGAUUCGGCCCGGUGGGGGCGGGCAGGGUGCGCGCCUGCCGCGCGCCCAGGUUAGGUGUGUCCGCUCUUUUCACACUCGCGGCCGGCGCGCGCGGGCACGCGGCAGAGGAGGGGGCGCGGCGCGGAAGGGCCGGCGGAGGCGGCGGGAGCGCCGGCGCUUGGUGUGCGCGCCUUGGGUGGUGUCCCCCGCCUGCGGAAUGGGUAAUGAGGCUUUUCUCCGCAGCAACAGCAUCACGAGUUUCAGUUCCCAGGAGCCCGCCGCCGCGGCUGCUGCCGCUGCCACGACAUGAGUCAGGCUUUCUUCCCUGGCGCGUGGCGGAAACCUCCUCCCCCUCGCCGCACCUGGGCUCGCCCCCGGCCCUUGCCUCCUCGGGGGAUGCCCUAGGGCCGGGAGCUGUGGGGUCUAUGGAAGGCCGGUGGCUCCCGGUGAUAGGUGUUGUCUUUUGUGCAGUGCAGUUGCUGCCAUGCGGUCCCCUCGCCCUUCCACGGGCAGGGGCGAGGCGGCCGGGCAGAUGUUGCAGCUGUUUCCAGUUAACUGCCUGAGCUCCUCUGGGCUAGGCUCUUCUCUAACGAGGAGUGGUUGCAAUCCAUCCUUAACUGGAGGACAGAAGCAGGCCGGCCCUGUAAUCGACUGACCUCAACAGGUGUCUCCAAGCAGCGACGCCUUUUUCGUUCAUCGUCCUGGCUAUAUCCCCCAUUGGUUUGACUCAGGAGGCAAGGUGGUCCGGACAUGUGAGCAACACAAAUGAUAAGAAUGCCUUUUAGGGCUAGAAAAGAAAAAGCCAUCCGAAAUUCCAGUUUUAAAAUACACACACACACACACGUUACAUUUCAUGGGUCCAAAUGUAGUUCUACAGAAGCAAUGUUAGGUUUGAUUGGGGGCAAUUUACUGGCGGUUACUUUCUUGGUAUUUCAUGUCAAAACCUAGUUCUAAGCGUUUCUUACCAAUAAUCGAGAAUGUAAGUCUUUCCCAGGAAUUUAAAAAUGAUAAAGCAAGCCGAAAAACUGUAGGGAGGAAUUUUCAUUUUGUUAAAUUUAGGUUGUUAGGGGAAUCAACGCUUAUGGUUAGACCUCUGAUUCAGGAAGUCUCAAGGAUUUACAUUCCUAUUUCAGAAGAUUGUUAAAGCAAAAACGAUUGUCAUUUGCAGUUUUGAUACACCUCUAGUUGUCAGUUCAACUUUUUACCUUUAGUUUUCUCUGAACUCUUCCCCUUGUUCCAAGGGGAAGCUUUCAAAAAGUGAAUUAUGUCACCAUUUGCAUGUUAUUGAAUAGAAGUGCACUCUUAACAUCCCAUUUAUCCAGUGUCAAAGCUAUGAUACAUUGUUGCUUUAUGUGGGGUCUCCCACACUGAAAAGAAAAACCCGGACUUCAUUUAUUUAUUUAUUUAUUUAUUUAUUUAUUUAUUACUUUAUAUUGCUAAUGUAAACCUCUGCUAGAAGUAAAUAGGCUCUCGCAAAUAUUCAAAGUGAUACAGUAAUAAACAUCAAAUAUGUUUGAGAAGACUACUUGUUCUAUGAUAUUAAUAUGUGAUUGGUUGUUUUUAUAGAACUAUGGCUAUUUGUGUUUUCACAAAAAUAAUUUCUUUUUUACUUUUUGAGCUUUUGUUGCAAGUAAUAUGCCUGGUUAAUCGCUGCCAUCCAUUGUUGAAAUGCAAAUUUGACAUUCUUUUUCAAUAGUUUUUGAAUGGAAAAUAGAAACUACCCUAACCGAUUGAAACUGCAAUGGAAUGUAGAUGGGUGGAAUGUCCUUUCUUUGGACUGCAGUAUGAAAGAAAAUGCUCUUGAUCUCUCAAAAUGUAGCCUUAAGUCAAAGGUUUUUUGUUUUGUUUUGUUUUGUUUUUUAAGUCAAAGUUUUAAAUUACCCCAAACAGCAGCUGUAUACCCUUUGGGCCACCUAAAUAACUCACCAUGAUUGUGCUGAUAUGCUUUGACGCUUAAUAAACACAUAUAUUAAAGUCUUACCCAAAGCUGAUAGAGUAAAAGAGCUGUUGAGAUAGCCCCUCUGGAAGCAGAUACUUGUUCUAAUGACCAGUAGCAAAGGGUACUGUUUGAGCUGUUUUGAUGGGGGAGGAAGGGUUGGGGUGUUAUUCCCUUUAAAAUAAAGGUUUAAAAAAAAAUCCAGAAUUUAAGACGUAAGAAAAUAAGAUCUUUUGAAGUGUAUUAAUUUUUGCCUGCCAUAUCACUUUCAAACUCCUGCUUAGGCUGCAUCAAGUCCCACUAAGAUAUAAAGAGCAAGUCAGCCGGGCGCGGUGGCUCGUGCCUAUAAUCCCAGCACUUUAGGAGGCUGAGGCGGGCGGAUCACGAGGUGAGGAGAUCAAGACCAUUCUGGCUAACGCAGUGAAACCCCAUCUCUACUAAAAAUACGAAAAAUUAGCUGGGCGUGGUGGCAGGUGCCUGUAGUCCCAGCUACGUGAGAAGCUGAGGCAGGGGAAUGUCGUGAAC